rnacentral:misc_RNA from 1 species
AAGUCGUAACAAGGUAUCCGUAGGUGAACCUGCGGAUGGAUCAUUAACAAAGCAGAAUAGCUUUGCACCAAUGUGGUCGAAAGGAGAGAAGAGAGAGAGGGUGCGGGGGAGACAGACGGCGUCAGCCGACGAGCCCGCGCACCCGUCUACUUAUUAUUAACCCUAGUCAUUGAAUGAGUUAUCCAUGUCUAUUACAUUCAUCAUAUUCUAUACAACUGCUAGCAACGGAUCACUCGGCUCUC